UGAUCUGGACGCGUUUGGACCGUUCAGCAAGAUACACCCACGGAAAGGAAAAACACUGGAGCUCACGAUCGUCGUGAAGAACAACGCCCAUUCCAGACAAGGAGCUGGUGAUUCGACUCUUCAUGGCGAGGAGACAUGUGACUGCGGAGGCGCUUGCAGCUGUCACACUUCCACGUCAAACAAAGAGGAGAACUGUGAUCUUCCAGUGGGUCGCAUCAAAGAUGCCAUUUGAUCAAAACGUGCGAUCGCUGACGAUGUGCCGUCUUGAGUGCCGUUCAAAAGGAAUUGGAACCUUUUGCAUGGACCGACACCCCGCGCAGCAAGAUUCUCCAACACGUCACCUGUACGCUUUCAAUCCUCCCCACUGCGACCGAUGCCCCGUUCUCGAGCACUGUCUAAACCGUCCACAUUGCAACCUUAUAUUACGACAAGUACAUGUGAUUGCGGUUUGACUACAUUUGUCCACGAACAAUACAUUCAAUGGCUUAUUAAUAUUGCGCUAGGGUACUGCCAUAUGAUAUUUGUAAUUUGUAAUACAAUGUGUAAUCCCAGAUGUCGUGAAGUUGUGAUGCCACAUAUGUUACCAGUAGUCUCUGAUUGUUCUUUCUUUCGUGUUCUUGUUUAACCACUGAGUUUAUACCGCAAACGUUUGCGCAUCGAAUUGUAUCGAGCACAAGCUGAACUUGAAUCAGUUGAUAAGGGCCAUGUAGAUUUAGAACUUGUAAUUAGAGCUAUCAGUAACAAACGAAUAGCUUGAAAUACAUUGCUGACAAAUGCUCAACAAGGGCAUUACUGAAAAUACAACUGAUGAUUAGCCAUGACAAAUAUAAUCAAGCUAAAUAUGAACUCCAAAGGGUCCAUCCCUCUAGCUCUAUACAUUGCACCAUUUAUAUUGUAACCAGUAGUUUCACGUCUUCAGCUGUAUAGUUUUCCCUUUUUCCUUGCCAAUCAAUACACCUAAUUGCAAUGGA